rnacentral:rRNA from 1 species
AUUGAACGCUGGCGGCAGGCCUAACACAUGCAAGUCGAACGAGUGGCGGAAGGGUGAGUAAUGUCUGGGAAACUGCAUGAUGGAGGGGGAUAACUACUUGAAACGGUAGCUAAUACCGCAUACCAUCAGAUGUGCCCAGAUGGGAUUAGCUAGUUGGUGGGGUAACGGCUCACCAUGGCGAUGAUCCCUAGCUGCUCUGAGAGGAUGACCAGCAACACUGGAACUGAGACACGGUCCAGAAUCCUACGGGAGGAAGCAGUGAGGAAUAUUGCAUAAUGGGCGCAAGCCUGAUGAAGCCAUGCCGCGUGUAUGAAGAAGGCCUUCGGGUUGUAAAGUACUUUCAGCGGGGAGGCGUUACCCGCAGAAGAAGCACCGGCUAACUCCGAGCCAGCAGCCGCGGUAAUUC